rnacentral:lncRNA from 1 species
CUAUGGAAUACGGAGGUUAUAGGGAUCGCAAUGUGUGAAACACACACACACACACAUGUAUUGCCUUCAUAUUAGAAUAGGAUAAUCUGAACCUCUUAGAACAAAGAACAAUGCUGGAUAUCAAGUUUACUUCAAGAGUCAGGACCUACUUCAAGAGUCCAACCUGGAAUCUCCUAGAUCUGUGACUGCUAAAUUGAGAGAUUAAAAACUCAAGAGUCUUGGAUUGUUAGGGUUUAGGGAUAUUAAAAGUUAAGAGUAGACGUGAAUAGUGUUGCCUUUGGAUGUUAGGGAAAGCUACUAUUCCACAGAAAGCCAAGAAAUUAUUUCAUAAAUGUUUCCUUUUGUCUCUUUCCACCUCUGCUCUCCAUGUCAUUAUGCUUCACCGUUAUCAUUCUCUAUCAGCUGAUACCUGGACCGACUCAGGAAACAGAAGAGAGCUGGCUGUUAUAACAUUUACCAACAUACCCCUGCCCAAAGCCUUGCAAAGAAAAGAAAAAGACAAGCCAUGAUGAAAAACAGGGUGGUUUGAGUGGAAAAAGUCCUAGGAUGAAGAAUCAGAAAAUUCUACUUCUGGAUUCACCUGUGCCACUUAUUUGGGCCAGUAACUUAUCCUCGCUGAAUCUCAACUUGCUUGACUGUAAAAUGGGAAUGAUGCUACCUGUCCUACUUAACUUUAUAGUGUUGUUGUAAAAAUUAAAUGAAGUCAUGGCAUAAAAAUGCUUUGUAAAGUGUUUUCCUUUCCUAUUGGAACUGCUUAGGCUAUUAUUCGAUCCUAUCUUUACAGUUGCUUCACCCACUAUUUUGACCAAGAUGAAUAAAAGGUAAGUUACGGUUCUGUCCA